rnacentral:rRNA from 1 species
AUUCCAGCUCCAAUAGCGUAUAUUAAAGUUGUUGCGGUUAAAAAGCUCGUAGUUGGAUUUCUGCCGAGGAUGACCGGUCCGCCCUGUGGGUGUGCAUCUGGCUCAGCCUUGGCAUCUUCCUGAAGAACGUAGCUGCACUUGACUGUGUGGUGCGGUAUUUAGGACAUUUACUUUGAGGAAAUUAGAGUGUUUCAAGCAAGCGCACGCUUUGAAUACAUUAGCAUGGAAUAAUAAGAUAGGACCUCGGUUCUAUUUUGUUGGUUUCUAGGACCGAAGUAAUGAUAAAUAGGGACAGUUGGGGGCAUUCAUAUUCCAUUGUCAGAGGUGAAAUUCUUGGAUUAACGGAAGAUGAACUUCUGCGAAAGCAUCUGCCAAGGAUGUUUUCAUCG